GUGGAGCGCGGGGAGGGCGCGCAGCAAGGGCGGCCGCCGUUACGGCGCGGGCGUGGUCACGUGGCCGUCGGUCACCGCUGCCACCGCCCCCUCCCGCCCUGUUCUCUUUCUGGUCGGGUCGGGCCCGGCCGGCACCACGAGCGCCCUGCAGAGACUGAGGGAGAGAGAAAGAGGAGGGGAGGAGGAGGAGGAGGAGGAGGAUUCAGGGAGUAGGAGCUGGGGAGCCCUCCCGCGCCACAGAAAAUUAAAUUUCCAGAGACUUGGUGAAGAUAGGAAAACUAUCAGAAAGACUAUAGCACUAUUGUACUGUAGUCACUUUUGGUGACAGUGUCCAGUUCUCAAAAUGUAUCAUUCCUUAUCUGAAACUAGACAUCCUCUGCAGCCAGAAGAACAAGAAGUGGGCAUUGAUCCUUUGUCUAGCUACUUAAACAAGCCUGGAGGACCAUCCUUGUGACAUAUGGAAAUUCCUGGGCUAAGGUUUCAAAUCAGAGCUGCAGCUGCCAACCUAUGCCACAGCCAUAGCGACUUGGGAUCUGAGCUGCAUCUAUGACCUAUACCACAGCUCCCAGCAAUGCCAGAUCCAUAACCCACUGGGUGAGGCCAGGGAUCAAACCCGUAUCCUCAUGGAUGCUAGUUGAGUUCAUUUCUGCUGAGCUGGAACAGAAACUACAAUAUUUAAUAUUUUUGAAGUUUUGGAUGAAUAUAGAAAUAGUUACUCAUGAUCCAACAUACCUAUUUUAGGAAAUCUUCCUGCCUGAACAUUUUAAGUGAGUUGGAGAAAAUAACUUGGCAAGUCAAGUCUUGAAGUACUGACUAAAAAAGUCACUGACUCUUAAGAGGGAAAAAUAUAAUGAUAGUAAAGAAAUAUGACGGUAGACUAAAUGAAUAAGAGUAUGUUUUAGUGUGACCUGGAGGAGGCCUUGAGAGUUAACCUGGCAGUGUAGGAAGUGCAGGCUUAGGACAAGGGCGUUGGGGAAUAAGUGACUGAAUGAUGAUGUGGUUUUUACAGCUACAGUUCACAUUUUGAAUACGAGCGGUAAGGAGGAUCAAAAAUGAGAUGAUUAACCAAAUUCUUUGUCUAAGACAUUUAGUCUUUUAUUUUAGUAUACUUAUGUUUCCAUACAGUAAGUUAUGCCCUAAUAAAAAUUAAAGAGCAAGUUGCAUUUGGAAGAUCAGGUCAUCGUAACUCAUUGACAUUAGGCCACAUAACUGAAUAAUGUCUUCCUUCAGUGAAAUACAUCAAAUGAGAUCAACAAUUAUGACUCAUAAACAUGCCUCGCAGGCAUAAAACAGCAGGGAAUUAGCAUGUGAGGCUGAUAAAUAUGCAUGUAAAUAAGCUCCCAAAGGAAUAACAUGGGUUUGAUUGAUAGGUUUAGAAUUGGAACAUAUGUAAACCCCUUUAUUCCUCAUUCUGGUGUAGCUAAGUAAAGAUGCGUUUUACUUGUUAAAAAGUUUCAAUAACUUUGUAAAUCUUAAUGCCACAUCUGUUUUUUUUUUUGUUGUUGUUGUUGUUGUUGUUGUUGGGUUUUUUGUAUGUCACUUGUAAGAUUAAUUGAAUUGUCUACAGGCUGGUUGGCCCUCACAUAUAAGACAUGGUGGAGCAUGUGAGUGAGAGGCUAUGCAUCUGGGGCUAGAGAUGGGGUAGGAGUCUGGGAAAUCUCUGUUAUAAAAUGAUGUAUGCUUAUAUGACAUUUCUUUUGGAAAUGAAGAUGUGACAUAGCAAUUAACUUUGACUCUAAGUAUAUUUCAUAUCCCCUUUCCGUAUUUUUUCAGCUCCUAAUAAUAUAAUCUCUGUUUCUUUAUUUCAUACUGUUUUGUUAAUCUUUAACUAAAGUGUACCUUUUUUUUUUUUCUUUUUUGGUUACACCCGCAUAUAUCUUUUUAAUAAUUUUUUUUUUCCUCUUCUUAAUACCUGUGCUUUUUCUGACCCUUCCAAAUUGGCAUUCAUAAACUAUCCUGGAACUGAAUUAGAAAGUGCAUGCUUAAAUGCAAAUCGAAUGUCAGUGGGCCUCUGGUUUUGGGCCCAUGGCUCAGCAACUAGAUGACUUUGGGGACUGUUAAUUCCCUCCUUUAGUCUCCGAUCAUUUCAGGUAAGUGGAAGAAGAAAUGUGGCUUUGGAUUUCCUGGUACAGACUUGUAAGCAUUAUUGCUGUGGAUGGUUCAGAGAUUUGCUACCUAAGGCAUUAUGGGAUCAGAUAGUGCUCAUGUCUAUACAAGAGGUGUUUUGCUGUCUUCCUCUACUAAUAAAUUAGUGAACAUGAGGCAGCAUUAGCUUAAUACCAUGAAAGUGCCUGUGGUUUGAAAGGAAUCAUGUUUUGGUUUGGUGAGAUGGCUGAAUUCUCUACGGCCUACAUCCAUCAUUCUGCAGAUCAGGGUUGUUGAUCUGAAACUAGGCCUUUUGAGUUUUGAAGCUGUAUUCUAGGUACUUGGGAUACCUCAGUGAACAAAGCAAAGAAAGAUCCUUGUCCUCAUAGAGUUUACAUUCCAGCACAGUGAGACAGUAAAUAACAAGUGUAAUAAAGAAUUAGGAUGAUGCCUUAGAAAGUGAGCAUUGCUUUGGGGAAAAAAAAAGGAAAUAAAGAUUGCAGUUUAAGGGGAUUGAUAAUGUAUGUAUGAUUUAGGAGGUUGCAGAGUUAAAUGUCAGGGUAGAUCUUAUUUCAGAAGAAAAAAAACUGAGCUAAGACUUGAAGUAAAUGGUGAAGUGAGCCACAUGACUGUUGGGGGCAGGGGCUUUCCAGGCUAAGGGAAUAGCAAGUACAGAAGUGCUGGAGAAGGAGUUGCCAAGCAUGUUCUGUGAGUCCAGUGGACAGAAAGGCAUGUAAAUUAAUGUAAGACUUCUCCUCUCCAGCCCUCGGCGGAUGUUAGACUCCUCAGUUUUGCCUAAGUGACUGUAUGCUUGGUCCAGGUUGACUGAAAUGCCGUCUGUAGUGGUCUUACAGCUGGAUGCCUCUGAUCUUUUGGUCGUUCUUCUCUUCAGACUUUUUUCAUUUUGGCACUUUAUUUACUCUGUCCUGUUUAUUCAAAAUGUAUACUUCUCUUCCAACAUUUUUUUCUUGAUUUAGUCUCUGUCUUCACUUUAACACAGAUUGAGGAGUUCCCUUUAUGGCUCAGUGGUUAACGAACCCGACUAGGAUCCAUGAGAAUGUGGGUUCGAUCCUUGGCCUUGCUCAGUGGGUUAAGGAUCCAGUGUUGCCGUGAGCUGUGGUGUAGGUCAUAGACUCGGCUUGGAUGCUGCAUUGCUGUAACUGUGGUGUAGGCCGGCAGCUGUAGCUCCGAUUCGACGUCUAGCCUGGGAACCUCCAUUUGCUACAUGUGUGGCCCUGAAAAGACAAAAAAAAAAAAAAAAACAAAAAA
rnacentral:lncRNA from 1 species